AUGAAUUGUAAGAACGCUCUUUUUAGAGGUUCGACCCAAAUCAUUUUCCUUUCUACACUGUGCACAUUACUACUUUUUUACACCCCAUUUUUAUUAACACAUCAGUCUUAAGAAUGUAAAUCAGUCUCUUAAUUGAGCAUCAAAUAAAUA
rnacentral:misc_RNA from 1 species